rnacentral:lncRNA from 10 species
UUGCCCAGGCUGGAGUGCAAUGGCGUGAUUUCGGCUCACUGCAACCUCUGCCUCCCAGGUUCAAGCAAUCCACCUGUCUCAGCCUCCCAAAGCGCUGGGAUUAUAGGUGCGAGUCACUGCCACUGGCCCAGAUAUUUAUUUUUCAUAGCUCUGGAGGCUGAGAGCUCUAAGAUCAAAGCCAGCAGAUUUGGUGUCUGGUGAGGGCUCCAUCUUUGCUUCCAAGAUAGGUGCUCUUGUGUGUCCUCACAUGGCAUAAAAGUGAAAGGGGAAAAGGGACUAAGGCAUUCCCUUUGAUCUCUUUUUUAUUGUUGUUGAGACAGGGUCUCACUCUGUUGCCCAGGUUGGAGUACAGCAACACAAUCACAAUUCACUACAGCCUCAAUGAGGUACCAGGUUCAUCUCACUGGAGUUUGUCAGACAGUGGGUGCAGGACAGUGGGCACAGCCCACGGAGCGUGAGCCAAAGCAGGGCGAGGCAUCGCCUCACCCAGGAAGCACAAGAGGUCAGGGAAUUCCCUUUCCUAGCCAAGGGAAGCUGUGACAGACGGCACCUGGAAAAUCGGUCACUCCUACCCUAAUACUGUGCUUUUCCAAUGGUCUUAGCAAACGGCACACCAGGAGAUUAUAUCCUGCACCUGGCUUGCAUAAGCUUUUUCUUUCCCUCACUAUGUCAUGAACUCCCUGAUAUCCUGGCAUGUAACACCUCUGUGGCCCUUUUGGUGCCUAGCAUGCCUAG